UUUGCAGUUAUAAAUAGAAUCGAAACGUAAGUGUAAACCGCAAUGUAGAGAUCGUACGAAAACACCGAUUUACGUCUGAAUGCAGAUUUAGAAAGAACAGAACUUAGAAACUUGUUCGUAAAAGCGCAGAGAGCAGUAGCUAUGUAGGAGGUUUGCAGUAAUGAUAAAGUGCUCAAAAUGAAAGCAAACCAGAGAUUUAGAGUGGUUCGGUCAGUCUUGACCUACUCCACUUUUGGCUUCCUCCACCGACGAGGUCACUGACGUCAACUAGAGGCCUUCCUUCAAUAGGCGAAGGCCAACUGCCACUUUACAGUUUCACUCCUUUUGACGGGCUCAGGAGACAACCCUUACAGAACCUUUCUCUCCUCUCUUUACAACUCAAGACUUGAAGAACAGAAAGAGGAGAACUCUUGGACUUAACACAAA
rnacentral:lncRNA from 1 species